AGCGGCGAACGGGUGAGUAACGCGGGGGUAAUCUGCUCUUCAGCUCGGAAUAACCUGCCGAAAGGUGGGCUAAUACCGGAUGAUGUCCUUGCGGGGAUCCUGCGGGGACUAAAGGGGGCGAGCGUAAGCAGCUCUCACUGAAGGAGGAGCCUGCGUCCGAUUAGCUAGUUGGUGGGGUAAAGGCCUACCAAGGCGACGAUCGGUAGCCGGCCUGAGAGGGCGACCGGCCACACUGGAACUGGGACACGGUCCAGACUCCUACGGGAGGCAGCAGUGGGGAAUAUUGCGCAAUGGGCGAAAGCCUGACGCAGCGACGCCGCGUGGGUGAUGAAGGCCUUCGGGUCGUAAAGCCCUGUCGGGUGGAACGAAUGACCUGGUGGCAAAUAACCACCGGGUUUGACGGUACCACCGAAGGAAGCCCCGGCUAAUACGUGCCAGCAGCCGCGGUAAUACGUAAGGGGCGAGCGUUGUUCGGAUUUACUGGGUGUAAAGCGCGCGUAGGCGGCCAGGUAAGUCGGAUGUGAAAGCCCUCGGCUUAACCGAGGUUCCCCACCCCGA
rnacentral:rRNA from 1 species